rnacentral:rRNA from 1 species
AGUGAACGCUGGCGGUAGGCCUAACACAUGCAAGUCGAACGGCAGCACAGUAAGAGCUUGCUCUUACGGGUGGCGAGUGGCGGACGGGUGAGGAAUACAUCGGAAUCUACUUUUUCGUGGGGGAUAACGUAGGGAAACUUACGCUAAUACCGCAUACGACCUACGGGUGGAAGCAGGGGAUCUUCGGACCUUGCGCGAUUGAAUGAGCCGAUGUCGGAUUAGCUAGUUGGCGGGGUAAAGGCCCACCAAGGCGACGAUCCGUAGCUGGUCUGAGAGGAUGAUCAGCCACACUGGAACUGAGACACGGUCCAGACUCCUACAGGAGGCAGCAGUGGGGAAUAUUGGACAAUGGGCGCAAGCCUGAUCCAGCCAUACCGCGUGGGUGAAGAAGGCCUUCGGGUUGUAAAGCCCUUUUGUUGGGAAAGAAAAGCAGCAGGUUAAUACCCCGCUGUUCUGACGGUACCCAAAGAAUAAGCACCGGCUAACUUCGUG